rnacentral:misc_RNA from 1 species
GGUUGGAUCAUUAACAAAUUGAAAGAAUUUGCUGAAAAGCACUUUCUCAACAUUAUGUGAAUCGUUUAUUGUCUCUUGGUGGGUUGUUCAAUUUCUAGGUCUCUUUUGAACUAGAAAACGCCGCCAAUUUUUUAAAACUUUUUAUGAAUUUAUUAAAAUCGUCUUGAAUUUAAAUUAUAUUCUAAUUUAAACAACUUUUGACAACGGAUCUCUAGGCUCUCGCAACGAUGAAGAACGCAGCGAAAUGCGAUAAGUAAUGUGAAUUGCAGAAUUCCGUGAAUCAUUAAAUCUUUGAACGCACAUUGCGCUCGUUGGUAUUCCGAUGAGCAUGUCUGUUUGAGAAUCAGUUUAAUUAUCAUCCCUUUUAUUCAAUUAAUUUUGAAUAAAUCGUGAUGGAUUUGGAUGUUUUUAUUGCUUUUAUUGGCGAUUCAUCUUUAUACUAUUUGUUGCUGUUAAGAUCUUUAGAUUUUUAACCAGAAAGCAUGACCAAUGAACGCAAGUUCUAUGAUUGCUGAUAAUGGAUAAAACGUUUAAAUGAUUUUAAUUAAGCAGUAACGUUAAAAAUUAAACACGAAGAACUUUUUAAGAUCUUUAAGACUUGAUCUCAAAUCAGACAAGACUACCCGCUGAACUUAAGCAUAUCAAUAAGCGGAGGAAAAGAAACUAACAAGGAUUCCCCUAGUAACGGCGAGUGAAGCGGGAAUAGCUCAAAUUUGAAAUCUCUUUGGUUCCCAAAGCGAAUUGUAGUUUAAAGAAGUGUUUUCGGGGGUAACUCAUGGUUAAGUUCCUUGGGAUAGGGCAUCAUAGAAGGUGAGAAUCCUGUAUGUGCUAUGAAGUUACUCCUAUGUGAUACACUUUCUAAGAGUCGGGUUGUUUGGGAAUGCAGCCCAAAAUUGGGGGGUGGUAAAUACCAUCUAAAGCUAAAUAUUGGCGAGAGACCGAUAGCGAACAAGUACCGUGAGGGAAAGAUGAAAAGAACUUUGAAAAGAGAGUUAAAAGUACGUGAAAUUGUCAAAAGGGAAACACUUGAAACCAGUCUUGCAGUUGGAAUCCCAACUGGUCUAACGAUCAGCAUAUGUUUCCAACUGCAGGUCAAUAUCAGUUUUGUUUGAAGCACAAAGCUUGAGGAAGGUGGCCCCUCUCGGGGGGUGUUAUAGCCUCAAGUAAUGCUUUGGACAGGACUGAGGAAUGCAGUGCAGUCUUGGGUACCCUGUCGCUGGUUGAUGCAUUUUUAUAGACAACUUGUUGAUUAUGAGAAUGAUAAGGCCAAUCGGCGGGUUUGCCACACCUGUGCUUAGGAUAUUGACAUAAUGGUUUUAAAUGACCCGUCUUGAAACACGGACCAAGGAGUCUAACACAUAUGCGAGUUUUUGGGUGGUAAACCCGGGAAGCGCAAUGAAAGUAAUAAGGUGGGAUUCGCAAGAUGCACCAUCGACCGGUCUGGAUAUUUUUUGAUAGAUCUGAGUAAGAGCAUAUGUGCUAGGACCCGAAAGAUGGUGAACUAUGCCUGAAUAGGGUGAAGCCAGAGGAAACUCUGGUGGAGGCUCGUAGCGAUUCUGACGUGCAAAUCGAUCGUCAAAUUUGGGUAUAGGGGCGAAAGACUAAUCGAACCAUCUAGUAGCUGGUUCCCUC